UAAAGAAUAGUUUAAUGGGAAAAACGAAGAACUUUGACUUCUCUGUUGCGGGUUC
rnacentral:tRNA from 1 species